GACGGACGCUGGCGGCGUGCUUAACACAUGCAAGUCGAGCGGUAAGGCCCUUUCGGGGUACGACGAGCGGCGAACGGGUGAGUAACACGUGGGUGACCUGCCCUCAGCUCUGGGAUAAGCCUGGGAAACUGGGUCUAAUACCGGAUAUGACUCCAUGACGCAUGUUGUGGGGUGGAAAGCCUUGUGCGGCUGAGGAUGGGCCCGCGGCCUAUCAGCUUGUUGGUGGGGUGAGGCCUACCAAGGCGACGACGGGUAGCCGGCCUGAGAGGGCGACCGGCCACACUGGGACUGAGACACGGGCCCAGACUCCUACGGGAGGCAGCAGUGGGGAAUCUUGCGCAAUGGGCGAAAGCCUGACGCAGCGACGCCGCGUGAGGGAUGACGGCCUGG
rnacentral:rRNA from 1 species